rnacentral:rRNA from 1 species
AGGACGAACGCUGGCGGCGUGCUUAACACAUGCAAGUCGAACGGACCGAGUUGAUAGCUUGCUAUUGAUGAGGUUAGUGGCAAACGGGUGAGUAACGCGUAGGCAACCUGCCCUUCAGAUGGGGACAACACCUCGAAAGGGGUGCUAAUACCGAAUGACGUUCCUGGUCGCAUGACCUGGAAACCAAAGGCCGGGCAACCGGUCACUGAAGGAUGGGCCUGCGUCUGAUUAGCUAGUUGGUGGGGUAACGGCCCACCAAGGCGACGAUCAGUAGCCGGUCUGAGAGGAUGAACGGCCACAUUGGGACUGAGACACGGCCCAAACUCCUACGGGAGGCAGCAGUGGGGAAUCUUCCGCAAUGGGCGCAAGCCUGACGGAGCAACGCCGCGUGAGUGAAGAAGGUUUUCGGAUCGUAAAGCUCUGUUGAGAGGGACGAGAGAUAUAAUCAGGAAAUGGGUUAUAGAGGACGGUACCUUUCGAGGAAGCCACGGCUAACUACGUG